rnacentral:rRNA from 1 species
UACGUAGGGGGCAAGCGUUGUCCGGAAUCAUUGGGCGUAAAGAGCGCGUAGGCGGUCCGGUAAGUCGGUUGUGAAAACUGGGGGGCUCAACCCUCAGAGGCCGACCGAUACUGUCGGGCUAGAGUCCGGUAGAGGAGUGUGGAAUUCCCGGUGUAGCGGUGAAAUGCGCAGAUAUCGGGAGGAACACCGGUGGCGAAGGCGGGUCUCUGGGCCGAUACUGACGCUGAGGAGCGAAAGCGUGGGGAGCGAACAGG